rnacentral:rRNA from 1 species
AACGAACGCUGGCGGCAUGCCUAACACAUGCAAGUCGAACGAGACCUUCGGGUCUAGUGGCGCUCGGGUGCGUAACGCGUGGGAACCUGCCCUUAGGUUCGGAAUAACUCCCCGAAAGGGGUGCUAAUACCGGAUAAUGUCUUCGGACCAAAGAUUUAUCGCCUUUGGAUGGGCCCGCGUUGGAUUAGCUAGUUGGUAGGGUAAAAGCCUAUCAAGGCGACGAUCCAUAGCUGGUCUGAGAGGAUGAUCAGCCACACUGGGACUGAGACACGGCCCAGACUCCUACGGGAGGCAGCAGUGGGGAAUAUUGGACAAUGGGCGAAAGCCUGAUCCAGCAAUGCCGCGUGAGUGAUGAAGGCCUUAGGGUUGUAAAGCUCUUUUACCCGGGAUGAUAAUGACAGUACCGGGAGAAUAAGCUCCGGCUAACUCCGUG